rnacentral:rRNA from 1 species
AGUGAACGCUGGCGGUAGGCCUAACACAUGCAAGUCGAACGGCAGCACAGUAAGAGCUUGCUCUUACGGGUGGCGAGUGGCGGACGGGUGAGGAAUACAUCGGAAUCUACUUUUUCGUGGGGGAUAACGUAGGGAAACUUACGCUAAUACCGCAUACGACCUACGGGUGAAAGCAGUGGAUCUUCGUACCUUGCGCGAUUGAAAUAUCCGAUGUCGGAUUAGCUAGUUGGCGGGGUAAAGGCCCACCAAGGCGACGAUCCGUAGCUGGUCUGAGAGGAUGAUCAGCCACACUGGAACUGAGACACGGUCCAGACUCCUACGGGAGGCAGCAGUGGGGAAUAUUGGACAAUGGGCGCAAGCCUGAUCCAGCCAUACCGCGUGGGUGAAGAAGGCCUUCGGGUUGUAAAGCCCUUUUGUUGGGAAAGAAAAGCAGCAGGUUAAUACCCCGCUGUUCUGACGGUACCCAAAGAAUAAGCACCGGCUAACUUCGUG